rnacentral:tRNA from 1 species
GGCUUAAGUAUUUUAAAAUAAAAUAUUGUUUUGUGGAAUCAAAGAUAUGAGGUAUUUUCAUCUUAGGCCA